UUCCGGUUGAUCCCGCCGGACCUGACUGCUAUCGGAUUGGUACUAAGCCAUGUGAGUCAUUGUAGCAAUACAAGGCAUACGGCUCAGUAACACGUAGUCAAUCUAACCUAUGGACGGGGAUAACCUCGGGAAACUGAGGAUAAACCCCGAUAGAUCAUUAUGCCUGGAACGGUUUAUGGUCUAAAUGAUUCGUCGCCGUAGGGUGGGACUGCGGCCUAUCAGCUUGUUGGUGAGGUAAUGGCCCACCAAGGCUAUUACAGGUACGGGCUCUGAGAGGAGAAGCCCGGAGAUGGGUACUGAGACACGGACCCAGGCCCUAUGGGGCGCAGCAGGCGAGAAACCUUUGCAAUGUGCGCAAGCACGACAAGGUUAAUCCGAGUGUUUCCUGCUAAAGGAAUCUUUUGUUAGUUGUAAAACCACUGAUGAAUAAGGGGUGGGCAAGUUCUGGUGUCAGCCGCCGCGGUAAAACCAGCACCUCAAGUGGUCAGGAUGAUUAUUGGGCCUGAAGCAUCCGUAGCCUGUUCUAUAAGUUUCCGGUUAAAUCCAUUAGCUCAACUAAUGGGCUGCCGAAAAUACUGUAGAACUAGGGAGUGGGAGAGGUAGACGGUACUCGGUAGGGAGGGGUAAAAUCCUUUGAUCUAUUGAUGACCACCUGUGGCGAAGGCGGUCUACCAGAACACGUUCGACGGUGAGGGAUGAAAGCUGGGGGAGCAAACCGGAUUAGAUACCCGGGUAGUCCCAGCUGUAAACGAUGCAGACUCGGUGAUGCCCUGGCUUGUGGCCAGUGCAGUGCCGCAGGAAAGCCGUUAAGUUUGCCGCCUGGGAAGUACGUACGCAAGUAUGAACUUAAAGGAAUUGGCGGGGGAGCACCACAAGGGUGAAGCCUGCGGUUCAAUUGGAUUCACGCCGGGA
rnacentral:rRNA from 1 species